rnacentral:rRNA from 1 species
UACGUAGGGUGCGAGCGUUGUCCGGAAUUAUUGGGCGUAAAGAGCUCGUAGGCGGCCUGUCACGUCCGCUGUGAAAUCCCGGGCGUCAACCCGGGCCUGCAGUGGAUACGGGCUGGCUGGAGGCAGGCAGGGGAGAACGGAAUUCCUGGUGUAGCGGUGAAAUGCGCAGAUAUCAGGAGGAACACCGGUGGCGAAGGCGGUCUCUGGGCCUGUACUGACGCUGAGGAGCGAAAGCGUGGGGAGCGAACAGG